rnacentral:rRNA from 1 species
GACGAACGCUGGCGGCGUGCUUAACACAUGCAAGUCGAACGGGCCUGUCUUCUUUUUUGGGGGUGGGUUGAGUGGCGAACGGGUGAGUAUCACGUGAGUAACCUGCCCUUCGGUCCUGGAUAACCGCUUGAAAGGGCGGCUAAUACGGGGUGGUCCGGUUGGUCCGCAUGGGCUGGUCGGGAUAGAUUCACUGUUUUUGGUGUUUCGGCGGGGGAUGGGCUCGCGGCCUAUCAGCUUGUUGGUGGGGUGAUGGCCUACCAGGGCGGUGGCGGGUAGCCGGCCUGAGAGGGUGGGCGGCCACACUGGGACGGAGAUACGGCCCAGACUCCUGCGGGAGGCAGCAGUGGGGGGUAUUGCACAAUGGGCGGAAGCCUGAUGCAGCGACGUCGCGUGAGGGAGGGAGGCCUUCGGGUUGUGAACCUCUGUUUCCGGUGGUGAAGGCCCUGUCCGUGUGGUGGGGUUGACGGUAGCCGGGGAUGAAGCGCCGGCUAACUACGUG